AGAAUAAGCAAAUAGACAUUAGAUAUCACAGAUAUGUCAUACUGAAAAGAGCACAGGAGGUCUCAAUCUUUUCUGUUGUGUACUCGUUUUGCACGUAAUCAUACAGUGGUGGGCCCAUAGCUGUUGAAUAUAAAAUAUAUUACAAACUGCCCAAAUCAAUUAUUCUGCUAUAGCAUAUUCUUCCUGUCAAAUAUAUGCUCCUGUCUGCAUUCAUUUUUAUUUAUUUAUUUAUUUUAAUAAAAGACUGGCUGGCAUUUCAUAGAAAGAUCUAGAAAGCAAUGCCGUUUCAGUUUGCAUGUCAUAGAAGCAACUCCUCUUCAGCCUAUAUGUCAUGUUUUCUGUUUUAUUUCUCUCGUUUUCUUAUACCAGCAAAUUGUCAUCUGCUCCCGAUGUUUAUCCCCUAUUUAAAGACACAGUAGCAGUUUGUGAAGCCAGCAGUUCUCUGCCAAUGCUGUCACACACACUCCUGUUCCCCCCAGGUCUGUGGCUCUGAAGGCCUGAUCUUCAACAAGCAGUGACACAAAACCACUACUGUUCCAUCCAGAGGGAGUUGCUGCUGUGCAGCGCAUGUUACAGGAUCAAGCCCCAAGUGAGGAACAUAAGAGAAAUCAUAGAAGGCAAGUAAAAUAGAAAUGUGUUCCUCAUGCAAACACUCCAAGCAAUUAAAAAUAAAAUGAAGGAAAGCAUGAACUAAAAUAGAAAACUGUAGUGAUGGAACACUUUUGAAAUCAAAGAUCGUGCUUCUUUCCUUACUCUCUGGAACUCUAAAUCAUUACUUAGGUGAAUUUAUGUCUGUUUUCAACAUUUCUGUUAAACACGACAAAGAGCUGGACCCUAGUUGCUGGUUGCCAGGCAGGCUACACCCCAGAAGGUCAGAAUGCAUAAUUAAUCCACGGGAGGCUGCAGGAGAUUUGUUAUCUGGGAGCCUUUAGGUUCCCCAUGCACAGACUUCUGCAUGCCAGAGCAGGUUGCACCUAAUAAAGUUUUCAAGGUGAUUCUGACUUUCUUCACCACUCCUCACCCCCAGCUUCCUCCUAGGCAUUUCCAGCCUACUUAUCCCAAUAUUUCAGGAAAGGCACGAUCUCCUUCAAACACCACA
rnacentral:lncRNA from 1 species